rnacentral:rRNA from 1 species
GGGCCCGCGUUUCAUUAGCUAGUUGGUGAGGUAACGGCUCACCAAGGCUUCGAUGGGUAGCCGGCCUGAGAGGGUGAACGGCCACACUGGGACUGAGACACGGCCCAGACUCCUACGGGAGGCAGCAGUAGGGAAUAUUGCGCAAUGGGGGAAACCCUGACGCAGCGACGCCGCGUGAGUGAUGAAGGCCUUCGGGUCGUAAAACUCUGUCCUCAGGGAAGAACACAUGACGGUACCUGAGGAGGAAGCCCCGGCUAACUACGUGCCAGCAGCCGCGGUAAUACGUAGGGGGCAAGCGUUGUCCGGAAUUAUUGGGCGUAAAGGGUGCGUAGGCGGCCAACCCAGUCAGAUGUGAAAGACCACGGCUUAACCGUGGGGUUGCAUUUGAAACUAGUUGGCUUGAGUAUCGGAGAGGGUAGUGAAAUUCCUGGAGUAGCGGUGAAAUGCGUAGAUAUCAGGAGGAACACCAGUGGCGAAGGCGACUACCUGCACGAACACUGACGCUGAGGCACGAAAGCUAGGGGAGCAAACAGGAUUAGAUACCCUGGUAGUCCUAGCUGUCAACUAUGGACACUAGGUGCCGGACG